CCCAAGGUCUUUUUCAUCCCUUCCUCCCCUACUGUUGUAGUCUAUAAAUAUGGAUUUUUAGGUUUUUAGUUUCUAGAGUCUACAUCCAGUUAAUACUAAGUCAGUGAGUUUUGGUUCAAUAAAUUAAACAUUUGUGUGAUUAUUAUUAUUGAA